CGCUUGGUUUCAGACUGUCUGUGACAAUAGAACUCCAUGCUGGGUCUCAUGGCGGCGCAAACUGUUCAGUUGUGAGGAAGAUUGGAGCUCGAUAAGUACACCCAGGCUGCCGCUUUGCGUUUGUGUGAAUCCCCUGCUGCAAUAUCUCUUGUUAUAAGGACACACAACGUUCCGAGACUGGAUUCUGUUUACGUCUUCAGGUGGAACCAACUCAUUUCGGCCCAAUCAAUGGAGCUAGUCCCUUUCUCCGGACAUCUGCACCAACACAACAUAAGGUAGCGGUGUUGCGAAGGGCUAAUCCCCCAUCCAAGGAAUCCCUCCGACUGUGUAAAAGUACAAGAAACUGAAAAAGCGGCCAAGGUCCAACAAAAGGCUGCAGAACCAUAGAUAGAUCUAAGUAAGUGAAAUCUAGUAUGGAAGAAUCUCAUAAACACACCUACACAGUAUGCAUAAAAUAUUGUUUUCAAAUCAACAAUUACAAACACUGCGAGGAUGCAAAACUUUGAGGUUAUUUGUGACAAACUAAACGCAGACAAAAUCCUUACUGAAGUAAUGAGUUCUCUGCAGAAUUUAGGAUCAGUAACAACAUCAAGAGCAAUAGAUCUGUACGUCACGUCUGUGGCACAAAAUUAAGGGAAAUACAACGCUUCGAGAUUCUGCUCGUACAGUCCGUCUCAUACGUUUAACGUGAUCAACAAUUUACCGACCAACAUUAUAGACAUAAACUGAUCACUAGCAUAAUCAAUAAAGUAAAUUUUCUACUAGCCCGCCUUGUGGAGCGAAACAUGCAAGGAAAUUAGGCGUUAGAAGGUAUAUUCAGGACCUAUUUCUAUUCUUGUCGAACUGUCUUGUCUUUGUAGGAUUUGAGGUUCUCACAGAGGUGAUCAUGAAGAGUUAUAUCUUCCGAGAGAUGAGGCCAUGUAUUUCGUUGAAAGUCAACAAACAUUUAGAAGAAGUAUGUCGCCUCCAUCUUCAGGGUCGAAGAAUAGAGCUUUGCUUGUUAUCUGCUUCAUGGCGCUCUCUUGACUGACCUGAUCUCCUGCUCUGAAUAUGGAGGGGACUUAGCUUCGAAAUAUCUGUUGAAUUUAACAGACUACACAUUGUAUCUCAGAAGAUAUACCUCUUGAUCUAGGAGGGUCCUACACAUUAUUAAAAGUGCAGGAUUAAUAAAGGGCUAAUCCAAGGGGAAGCACAACAGAUCAUUUAAGGUCGCAGUGCGAGGGCCGGUUUUCGUGGCCCACUCCUUACAUACAUACAUACAUACAUAUAUACCUCUUGAUCUAGUGCCUGUUUUCAAUAACUCUGAGUUAAUGAACAGUGUAUAUUUGUAAUUAUACUACAAAUCAAAAUUUUGUCAAUAUCAGAAAAUAUACUACCCUUUUACACCGAGUUUCAACAUAGUUUUUGAUCAUUCAGUUCACAGAAUUUUUGAUAGAUCAACCAAGAACGAUUUCUGAUCCCAGGUCUCCAUGUCCGUCAUCCGUUGAGUGAAAGCAAAUUUUUUUUUUUUUUUGCACUGGCUCUACAGCCCUCCUUGGGCCAUGGUCUCUGAUUUUUUAGUUUCAUGAUCAUUUUACAGACUGGAGGCGGGGGCUCAAUGGACGAGCGAUCAGUCCGUCGCAAGGCCUCUACCUAAACAUAGGACAACACAAACA